rnacentral:rRNA from 1 species
AUUGAACGCUGGCGGCAGGCCUAACACAUGCAAGUCGAGCGGAGCGGCGGACGGGUGAGUAAUGCCUAGGAAUCUGCCUGGUAGUGGGGGAUAACGUCCGGAAACGGGCGCUAAUACCGCAUACUAUCAGAUGAGCCUAGGUCGGAUUAGCUAGUUGGUGGGGUAAAGGCCUACCAAGGCGACGAUCCGUAACUGGUCUGAGAGGAUGAUCAGUAACACUGGAACGGAGACACGGCCCAGACUCCUACGGGAGGCAGCAGUGGGGAAUAUUCGACAAUGGGCGAAAGCCUGAGCCAGCAAGGCGGCGUGUGUGAAGAAGGUCUUCGGAUUGUAAAGCAUGUUAAGUGGGGAGGCGGUACCAAAAGAAAAAGCCACGGCUAACUACGUGCCAGCAGCCGCGGUAAUUC